rnacentral:rRNA from 1 species
GACAGAGGUGGCAAGCGUUGUUCGGAUUUACUGGGCGUAAAGAGCGCGUAGGCGGUUGCAUAUGUCAGAUGUGAAAUCCCAGGGCUUAACCCUGGAAUGGCAUUUGAAACUGUGCGACUUGAGGACAGGAGGGGGAAGUGGAAUUCCCGGUGUAGCGGUGAAAUGCGCAGAUAUCAGGAGGAACACCGGUGGCGAAGGCGGGUCUCUGGGCCGAUACUGACGCUGAGGAGCGAAAGCGUGGGGAGCGAACAGG